rnacentral:ncRNA from 1 species
UAAUCUUAUUUGCUCUAGGUUUUACAAUUGUAAAUGAGAAAGAAAACUCAUAAGAAUAAGAUACCACGUUAAAUACUGAUAAUAUUUA